rnacentral:rRNA from 1 species
ACAGAUCUAGCUUGCUAGAUGCUGACGAGCGGCGGACGGGUGAGUAAUGCAUAGGAAUCUGCCCGAUAGUGGGGGAUAACCUGGGGAAACCCAGGCUAAUACCGCAUACGUCCUACGGGAGAAAGGGGGCUUYGGCUCCCGCUAUUGGAUGAGCCUAUGUCGGAUUAGCUAGUUGGUGAGGUAAAGGCUCACCAAGGCAACGAUCCGUAGCUGGUCUGAGAGGAUGAUCAGCCACAUCGGGACUGAGACACGGCCCGAACUCCUACGGGAGGCAGCAGUGGGGAAUAUUGGACAAUGGGGGGAACCCUGAUCCAGCCAUGCCGCGUGUGUGAAGAAGGCCCUCGGGUUGUAAAGCACUUUCAGCGAGGAAGAACGCCUAGGGGUUAAUACCCCCUAGGAAAGACAUCACUCGCAGAAGAAGCACCGGCUAACUCCGUGCCAGCAGCCGCGGUAAUACGGAGGGUGCAAGCGUUAAUCGGAAUUACUGGGCGUAAAGCGCGCGUAGGUGGCUUGAUAAGCCGGUUGUGAAAGCCCCGGGCUCAACCUGGGAACGGCAUCCGGAACUGUCAAGCUAGAGUGCAGGAGAGGAAGGUAGAAUUCCCGGUGUAGCGGUGAAAUGCGUAGAGAUCGGGAGGAAUACCAGUGGCGAAGGCGGCCUUCUGGACUGACACUGACACUGAGGUGCGAAAGCGUGGGUAGCAAACAGGAUUAGAUACCCUGGUAGUCCACGCCGUAAACGAUGUCGACCAGCCGUUGGGUGCCUAGCGCACUUUGUGGCGAAGUUAACGCGAUAAGUCGACCGCCUGGGGAGUACGGCCGCAAGGUUAAAACUCAAAUGAAUUGACGGGGGCCCGCACAAGCGGUGGA